rnacentral:rRNA from 1 species
AGGAUGAACGCUAGCGGCAGGCCUAAUACAUGCAAGUCGAACGGUCAGUAGCAAUACUGAUAGUGGCGCACGGGUGCGUAACACGUAACUAACCUACCUAUACCUGGGGGGAUAGCCCGCCGAAAGGCGGAUUAAUACCGCAUAAGGCUUGAGACUGGCAUCAGUUUUUAGUAAAGAUUUAUUGGUAUAGAUGGGGUUGCGGGUCAUUAGCUAGUUGGUAAGGUAACGGCUUACCAAGGCGACGAUGACUA